AGAGUUUGAUCCUGGCUCAGAACGAACGCUGGCGGCAUGCUUAACACAUGCAAGUCGAACGGGCACUUUCGGGUGCUAGUGGCGCACGGGUGAGUAACGCGUGGGAACCUGCCUUGAGGUUCGGAAUAACUGCGGGAAACUGCGGCUAAUACCGGAUGAGCCGGGAUGGUGUGGUGCUGUCCUGGGAAAGAUUUAUCGCC
rnacentral:rRNA from 1 species